UGAAUACGAGACGCUAAGGCGUCGAAGUAGUGUAUGUCAUACUUCCAAGAAAAGCUUGCACUGUCAUAGAUAAAAAACGCCUGUACCAUAACCGACACAGGUGGGUAGGUAGAGUAUACUAAGGGGCGCGAGAUAACUCUCUCUAAGGAACUCGGCAAAAUAACUCCGUAACUUCGGGAGAAGGAGUGCCUUAUUCGUAAGGUUGCAAUAACAAGAUCCAAGCAACUGUUUAUCAAAAACACAGGUCUCCGCUAAGUCGUAAGACGAUGUAUGGGGGCUGACGCCUGCCCAGUGCCAGAAGGUUAAAGAAGUUGGUUAGCAAUUGCGAAGCUGAUAACUGAAGCCCUGGUGAACGGCGGCCGUAACAAUAACGGUCCUAAGGUAGCGAAAUUCCUUGUCGGGUAAGUUCCGACCCGCACGAAAGGCGUAAUGAUUUGGAUACUGUCUCGGAGAGGGGCUCGGUGAAAUAGACUUGUCUGUGAAGAUGCGGACUACCUGCACCAGGACAGAAAGACCCUAUGAAGCUUUACUGUAACUUGAAAUUGAAAUUGGACUUUAUUCGCGCAGUAUAGGUGGGAGGCGUUGAUUAUAAUCUUGUGGGAUUAUUGGAGCCAUCAGUGAGAUACCACUCUUGUAAUGUUAGAUUUCUAACUUUGAAUCAUUAUCUGGUCAAAGAACAGUUUCAGGCGGGCAGUUUGACUGGGGCGGUCGCCUCCUAAACGGUAACGGAGGCGUACAAAGGUUUCCUCUGAACGGUUAGAAAUCGUAUCUAGAGUGUAAAGGCAUAAGGAAGCUUGACUGUGAGACCUACAAGUCGAGCAGGGACGAAAGUCGGUCUUAGUGAUCUGACGGUACUGAGUGGAAAGGCCGUCACUCAACGGAUAAAAGUUACUCUAAGGAUAACAGGCUGAUCUCCCCCAAGAGUUCACAUCGACGGGGAGGUUUGGCACCUCGAUGUCGGCUCAUCGCAUCCUGGGGCGGUAGUACGUCCCAAGGGUUGGGCUGUUCGCCCAUGAAAGCGGUACGCGAGCUGGGUUCAGAACGUCGUGAGACAGUUCGGUCUAUAUCCGGUGUAGGCGUUAGAAUAUUGAGAGGAGCCUUCUUUAGUACGAGAGGACCGAGAAGGACAUACCUCUGGUGUACCAGUUAUCGUGCCAACGGUAAACGCUGGGUAGCUAUGUAUGGAGUGGAUAACCGCUGAAAGCAUCUAAGUGGGAAGCCCACCUCAAGAUAAGUAUUCUC
rnacentral:rRNA from 1 species